rnacentral:rRNA from 1 species
GACAGAGGUUGCAAACGUUGUUCGGAAUUACUGGGCAUAAAGCGCGCGUAGGCGGUCCGUUAAGUCAUGUGUGAAAUCCCCCGGCUCAACCGGGGAAUUGCGCCUGAUACUGGCGGGCUAGAGAUCGAUAGGGGUGAGUGGAACUCCAGGUGGAGCGGUGAAAUGCGUAGAUAUCUGGAGGAACACCGGUGGCGAAAGCGGCUCACUGGAUCGAUACUGACGCUGAGGUGCGAAAGCGUGGGGAGCAAACAGG